rnacentral:rRNA from 1 species
AGUGAACGCUGGCGGUAGGCCUAACACAUGCAAGUCCAACGGCAGCACAGUAAGAGCUUGCUCUUACGGGUGGCGAGUGGCGGACGGGUGAGGAAUACAUCGGAAUCUACUUUUUCGUGGGGGAUAACGUAGGGAAACUUACGCUAAUACCGCAUACGACCUACGGGUGAAAGCAGGGGAUCUUCGGACCUUGCGCGAUUGAAUGAGCCGAUGUCGGAUUAGCUAGUUGGCGGGGUAAAGGCCCACCAAGGCGACGAUCCGUAGCUGGUCUGAGAGGAUGAUCAGCCACACUGGAACUGAGACACGGUCCAGACUCCUACGGGAGGCAGCAGUGGGGAAUAUUGGACAAUGGGCGCAAGCCUGAUCCAGCCAUACCGCGUGGGUGAAGAAGGCCUUCGGGUUGUAAAGCCCUUUUGUUGGGAAAGAAAAGCAGCAGGUUAAUACCCCGCUGUUCCGACGGUACCCAAAGAAUAAGCACCGGCUAACUUCGUG